rnacentral:lncRNA from 1 species
GGUUUUAUUUACACUGCUAUUGCAUUAGGAGACUCACUCACCCUGUGCUGGGCAGCAUAACGCUCAAGGUGAAGUUUCUGCUCUGGCAAUACAAACUGCAGCCCUCACCCUGCACGGCUUCACUCCCAAACCUCAGAGGCAGUGGUGGGGGCAGCCUCCCACAGUCAGGGCAAUCCAGUGAGCAGAACACUGCUGCAGGGUUUCAUCAAAACACCCUCAGACUGCAGCGCACCCAAAGUGGGAGCCUUUUUAAGAGUGGUUUGCAUAGCACCUAACACCACAAGCCAAAGACUUGCCUUUGUGUAUAGGUACUUCCACAGUACAGCAGUAAAAAUAUAUUAUCUGGAGAACAAAUAUCAUUAGCAAUAGUCGUGUAUUCUUGGUUGGAAAUGCUUCCAGCCAAAAAGAAUGGUAAAUGUCAGUCCAGUAAAUGACUGCUUACAUUAAUGUAUACAAACAUAUAUGGGCUGUGUUGCCCAGUCCUCCUCAUUAGAAGAGGGGAAAAAAAUGGAAGAAAAAGGGAACAAUUGCACAGUCUACACAAGAGCCAAAUUAAACUUAAAAAAAAAUAAAAUAAAAAAGGAAAAAAAAAAACCCUAAAACUUUAAAAACAGCCUAAAGAAAAUGCAGGUGACUGUCCACAGGGUGACCUUGCCAUCUUCAAACCUCUGCAGCAAUUAAGUUAAAUGCCAUUUUUAGUUAUUUUUCUCCUGCUGAGUGCUGCUGUCUUCCUUCAUGAUAGAAGCCUUAGAACAUUUGUGGCUUAACCAGCACUACAAAAUCUGGAGCCGUUUGCUUGCCCUUUCCAGCCUGCCAGCUAGCUGAGGGCUGUGACGACAUGCCUGUGGGUUUGUCCGGCUGAAGCACCACCACAAGCCGCCUCCUGCCCUUUGCCCAGCUCUGGCCAGGGAUGUUCUACCCUCUUUUUAUUUCAAAGCAGCUCCUUGCCAGCUUCACACAAUAUUUAUUCUCCCUGCUUUGUUGUUUUCUUGCUGUUAAUGUUUCUGUUCUUCCCCAUAAAUGUACUUCUAGCUGAGAUGGAACUUAGGAGCAACAAGUUCUCCAUUUCCAACACAGUGAACAUUUUGCCAGAGUGUCAGAAUGUAAAAUCCCCUAUCACAUCACAAAAGUCUGUUUCCUACUGCUUCUCCUGGUGUCAGAGGGAUGACGUCAGGACUCUUCUCUCACACGCACUGAACUUUGUCAGCCUUCAAAGACGUUGCAUUAAGAAAAGACAAUAAAAUGGAACACCGUAGUGUUGGGAUCUGAUGCUUUGCCUGUAAAAGUGUCAGCUUGCAAGCAUAGGGUGAACUUGCUAUUUCUGCACUGUUUAAUUAGUCAUUUGACCCUUUAUAAUAACAUUUUAAUGUACCAGUGCAGAAUAGCACAGUGCAAAAUACAGUCCCCUCUUCUAUCAGCUUUAUGAAGAAGCACCUCUAUGGGGUGCCACCCUUUCUGCAGUCUAUCCUACAGAGACACCCUAUGCUAAAAGGCAGCAUUGCCACAACAUUGCAUAUUCUUGUCUUUUGUAUUUAUCACCAUACUUUCUACUCAUGAAGAAUAUAUUUUCGACUGCUGGCAUUUCUAGUUAGCGUUAAUGCAGACUAGUAAAAUAACUCACUCCAUCCACAUUGCAGGUAUUUAUAUUCUCCUUUUUCAUCCUGAAGUUUCUAAUCUGCCUCAUUUCUCUUUUACAGUUUUAAUCCCCUAUAAAAGCACGCAGUGUGAAAGAAGGAAUACCUUUAAUGCAGCUUUCCUACUGUUAAAUAGAUAUCUUAUUCCCCCUUUCAAACCAAAACAAGACAAUUAUUAAAGUGACAAAAUGACAGCAACAAGUAGACAAAGGGAAGCGUUAGAGGCAACCCAGACCUAUUGUCCCACAUGUGCCUUUCCUUCUGGUGUUCCCCUUAAAGGCCCUCAGGUUGAGGGCGAGCAGUUUUUCCUGGGUUUCCUUUCUCCCCCUUCUUUAAGAAGGCUUUGUUUUCACCAUAAAAUAUUCCUCGUAAAAAAAAAAAAGAAAAGAAGAAAAGAAAAGAAAACAAACAACCAUUACAUAUUCAAUGCAAAUGUUAUGUCAAAUUCUGACAAGUGCCACCUUGGUUUUCAUAUUUCUGGAGUUUGAACAGUUGUCCAUGGAACAGCUGCACUUCUGUAAGCCCAAGGCAGGUGGCCCAAGCUAGACGCUUGCCACUCAUAACCACAAUGCUGAAAAAUCUGACUAGCUCCUCAGUAGUCCAAAAAUGCUAGUGAGUUCCAGUUUCUUCUCCUUUUACUUUUCUGCAAUGUAAGAAUCCAGUUCAAAACUGCUAAAUAGUUUUUCCCAUGUUGAAAUCAAGAAAUAAUUUUCACUGCCAUAAAAAAAUAUUCACACCACUGAAAUAACCACGAUUUCCUCUGUCCCUUGUAAAAAGGCCAGUGGUUUUGCAUCACCAUUCGUGACGUCAUUUGACUCUUUUAAAACAGUCCAACUGCAGUUCUGGCUGUGGAGUUUGCUUAAAUAGUUCAUGGUCUUUGGCUCUCCUCUCUCAACAGAAGGGUUUUCCUCUCCAAAAUAAGUCUAAAGGAUCAUCCUUGCAAAGCCAGGUUGUUUUAAGUCCCGUUGUCUGUCCCCAAGCUGCAGGGCCAUGGUUGGCUUGGAAAAGGGCAAGGGGGUCUGGGAGGCUCUGAGUCAACUCGUCAGCUCAGAAGGGGUCCACCACAGAAGGAGUAACGCCGAGCCCGCCAGGAGCCGGCGUUCCGCGCCGCCUUGGCGCUGCCGAGCGAGAAGCUGCUGGGCUGGCUGAGCGCCCGGCUGAAGUGCUCGUCCACCACGGCGCUGAUGUCCCCCUGGAAGUAGGUGAAGAGGACGCACCGGGAGCUGAUGUACUCAGCCUCGGGGGGCCUCUCCUUCUCGGGGCUGCACUCCUCCUCCUUGAUGCUGGCGGCGGCGUGGCUGGAGAAGGAGCUGCUGGCGCCGGCGCUGCUGCCGCUCUCCGGGGCUUCUUGCAUUUUGGAGUACAAGGCGAGUUUCUGCGGGUAAGGGCUGUAGGCUGCGGCGAAGUACGGCUUGGGGGGACCAUACACUUGGUACAUAACAUCCAGACAGCUCAUGGCUGUCCGCGGCCGCUAAUUCGUUUUUCGGUCAUCAACUCGCGUUCUGCAGAGCGGAGCAGUGCUCGGCGGGAGGGAGGAUCCCGGGGGUUAAGAGGCACGGCUCACUGUGGGAGGAGUGAUUGAGGGGUGAGACCGCGCCGCGCUGAGGUCCCCC